UACGGAGGAUCCGAGCGUUAUCCGGAAUUAUUGGGUUUAAAGGGUCCGUAGGCGGGAGAAUUAGUCAGUGGUGAAAGUCUGUGGCUCAACCAUAGAAUUGCCGUUGAAACUGUUUUCCUUGAGUCAUUAUGAAGUGGUUAGAACAUGUAGUGUAGCGGUGAAAUGCAUAGAUAUUACAUAGAAUACCGAUUGCGUAGGCAGAUCACUAAUAAUGUACUGACGCUGAGGGACGAAAGCGUAGGUAGCGAACAGG
rnacentral:rRNA from 1 species